AAUCAACGCUGGCGGCGUGCCUAACACAUGCAAGUCGCACGAGAAAGGGACUUCGGUCCUGAGUACAGUGGCGCACGGGUGAGUAACACGUGAAUCAUCUACCUCCGAGUGGGGAAUAACCUAGAGAAAUCUGGGCUAAUACCGCAUAACACUUACGAGUCAAAGCAGCAAUGCGCUUGGAGAGGAGUUCGCGGCAGAUUAGUUAGUUGGCGGGGUAAUGGCCCACCAAGACGAUGAUCUGUAUCCGGCCUGAGAGGGCGCACGGACACACUGGAACUGAAACACGGUCCAGACUCCUACGGGAGGCAGCAGUGGGGAAUUUUGCGCAAUGGGGGAAACCCUGACGCAGCAACGCCGCGUGGAGGAUGAAAUAUCUUGGUAUGUAAACUCCUUUCGAUGGGGAAGAUAAUGACGGUACCCAUAGAAGAAGCCCCGGCUAACUUCGUGCCAGCAGCCGCGGUAAUACGAGGGGGGCAAGCGUUGUUCGGAAUUAUUGGGCGUAAAGGGUGCGUAGGCGGUUUGACAAGUCUUAUGUGAAAUCUAUGGGCUCAACCCAUAGUCUGCAUAGGAAACCGUCG
rnacentral:rRNA from 1 species